GUGGGGAAUAUUGGACAAUGGGCGCAAGCCUGAUCCAGCCAUGCCGCGUGAGUGAUGACGGCCCUAGGGUUGUAAAGCUCUUUCACCGGUGAAGAUAAUGACGGUACCCACAGAGGAAGCACCGGCUAACUCCGUGCCAGCAGCCGCGGUAAUACGGAGGGUGCAAGCGCUGUUCGGAAUUACUGGGCGUAAAGCGCACGUAGGCGGACAUUUAAGUCAGUGGUGAAAUCCCGGGGCUCAACCCCGGAACUGCCUUUGAUACUGGGUGUCUGGAGUAUGGAAGAGGGAAGUGGAAUUCCGAGUGUAGAGGUGAAAUUCGUAGAUAUUCGGAGGAACACCAGUGGCGAAGGCGGCUUACUGGUCCAUUACUGACGCUGAGGUGCGAAAGCGUGGGGAGCAAACAGGAUUAGAAACCCUAGUAGUCC
rnacentral:rRNA from 1 species